GAAAUGCGAUAAUUAAUGUGAAUUGCAGAAUUCAGUGAAUCAUCGAGUCUUUGAACUCACAUUGCGCCCCCUGGUAUUCCGGGGGGCAUGCCUGUCCGAGCGUCAUUGCUGCCCUCAAGCACGGCUUGUGUGUUGGGCUUCCGUCCCUGGCAACGGGGACGGGCCCAAAAGGCAGUGGCGGCACCAUGUCUGGUCCUCGAGCGUAUGGGGCUUUGUCACCCGCUCCCGUAGGUCCAGCUGGCAGCUAGCCUCGCAACCAAUCUUUUUAACCAGGUUGACCUCGGAUCAGGUAGGGAUACCCGCUGAACUUAAGC
rnacentral:misc_RNA from 1 species